ACCAAUUCUGGGGGAAAAAUUUGUUCCUCUUGGCAUAAUGGCUCGGACGCCAUAUCCUUAUCGUGGUUAUCCUGAUUGGUGGCUUGUUCAUUCGGUGUCAUUAGAUCCUGGAAAUGCCUCGGACAUUA
rnacentral:snoRNA from 1 species